AUUGAACGCUGGCGGCAGGCCUAACACAUGCAAGUCGAGCGGAGCGGGGGACGGGUGAGUAAUGCUUAGGAAUCUGCCUGGUGGGGGGGGAUAACGUCCGGAAACGGCCGCUAAUACCGCUUACUCUCGGAUGGGCCUAGGUCGGAUUAGCUGGUUGGUGGGGUAAAGGCCUACCAAGGCGACGAUCCGUAACUGGUCUGAGAGGAUGAUCAGUCACACUGGAACUGAGACACGGUCCAGACUCCUACGGGAGGCAGCAGUGGGGAAUAUUGGACAAUGGGCGAAAGCCUGAUCCAGCCAUGCCGCGUGUGUGAAGAAGGUCUUCGGAUUGUAAAGCACUUUAAGUUGGGAGGCGUUACCAACAGAAUAAGCACCGGCUAACUUCGUGCCAGCCGCCGCGGUAAUUC
rnacentral:rRNA from 1 species